AACGAACGCUGGCGGCAGGCCUAACACAUGCAAGUCGAGCGCCCCGCAAGGGGAGCGGCGGACGGGUGAGUAACGCGUGGGAACGUGCCUCUUGGUACGGAAUAGCCCCGGGAAACUGGGAGUAAUACCGCAUGUUGUCUUCGGACCAAAGAUUUAUCGCCAAGAGAUCGGCCCGCGUUGGAUUAGGUAGUUGGUGGGGUAAUGGCCUACCAAGCAGACGAUCCAUAGCUGGUUUGAGAGGAUGAUCAGCCACACUGGGACUGAGACACGGCCCAGACUCCUACGGGAGGCAGCAGUGGGGAAUCUUAGACAAUGGGCGCAAGCCUGAUCUAGCCAUGCCGCGUGAGCGAUGAAGGCCUUAGGGUUGUAAAGCUCUUUCGUGGGGGAAGAUAAUGACUGUACCCCAAGAAGAAGCCCCGGCUUACUCCGUGCCAGCAGCCGCCGUAACAC
rnacentral:rRNA from 1 species